rnacentral:rRNA from 1 species
GGUUCGAUUACUGGCUCAGAUUGAACGCCAACUGGAUACUACACAUACAAAUCGAGCGACGGCACCGGACUUCCGGUCUGGUGGCGAGUGGCGAACAAUUGAAGUAAUGUGGAACGUGCCCAGUAGCGGGGGAUAACACGCGAAAGCGUAGCUAAUACGCCCGCCCUACAGGGGAAAGCAGGGGGAUGCCAGACCUUUUUAUUGGAGCGGCCGAUAUCGGAUUAGCUAGUUGGUGGGGUAACGGCUCGCAAGGCGACGAUCCAUCCAGCUGGUUUGAAAGGACGACCAGCCACACUGGGACUGAGACACAGCCCAGACUCCUACGGGAGGCAGCAGUGGGGAAUUUUGGACAAUGGGGAAACCCUGAUCCAGCCAUCCCGCGUGCGCGAUAGAAGGCCUUCGGGUUUGUAAAGCACUUUUGGCAGGAAAGAAACGUCGUGGGUCAAUGCGCCAGAGCGGCAUUACCUGCAGAAUGGCACCGGCUAACUUCCACGUGCAGCAGCCGCUGAUAAGCCGUGGGGUGCAAGCGUUAAUCGCGGAAUUACUGGGCGUGAAAGCAUUGCGCAGGCGGUUCCGGAAAGAAAGAUGUGAAAUCCAGGCUUAACUUUGGAACUGCAUUUUUAACUACCGGGCUAGAGUGUGUCAGAGGAGGUGGAAUUCCGCGUAUGACGGUAAAGAUGCGUAGAUAUGCGGAGGAACACCGAUGGCGAAACAGCCUCCUGGGAUAACACUGACGCUCAUGCACGAAAGCGUGGGGAGCAAACAGGAUUAGAUGCCCUGGUAGUCCGCCCCUAACGACGAUGUCAACUAGCUGUUGGGGCCUUCGGGCGUAGUGGCUGGCUAACGCGUGAAGUUGACCGCCUGGGGAGUGCGGUCGCAAGAUUAAAACUCAAGGAAUUGACGGGGACCCGCACAAGCGGUGGAUGAUGUGGUUAAUUCGAUGCAACGCGAAAAACCUUACCUACCCUUGACAUGUCUGGAAUGCCGAAGAGAUUUGGCAGUGCUCGCAAAGAACCGGAACACAGGUGCUGCAUGGCUGUCGUCAGCUCAUGUCGUGAGAUGUUGGGUUAAGUCCCGCAACGAGCGCAACCCUUGUCAUUAGUUGCACGAAAGGGCACUCUAAUGAGACUGCCGGUAAUAAACCGGAGGAAGGUGGGGAUGACGUCAAGUCCUCAUGGCCCUUAUGGGUAGGGCUUCACACGUCAUACAAUGGUCGAGACAGAGGAUCGCCAACCCGCGAGGAGCCAAUCCCAGAAACCCGAUCGUAGUCCGGAUCGCAGUCUGCAACUCGACUGCGUGAAGUCGGAAUCGCUAGUAAUCGCGGAUCAGCAUGUCGCGGUGAAUACGUUCUGGUCUUGUACACCGCCCAUCACCAUGGGAGUGGGUUUUACCAGAAGUAAUUCAGCCCUAACCGCAAGAGAAGGCGUUACCACGGUAGGAUUCAUGGCCAGGGUGAAGUCGUAACAAGGUAA